CAACCCUCAAGCCCCGCUUGGUGUUGGGCCCUGCCCGUGUGUGCGGCCGGCCCUAAAGACAGUGGCGGCGCCGCUCGGCCCUAAGCGUAGUACAGCUCUCGCUCCAGGGUCGUGCGGUAGCCUGCCAGAAUCCCAAACUCUGU
rnacentral:misc_RNA from 1 species